UACGUAGGGUGCAAGCGUUAAUCGGAAUUACUGGGCGUAAAGCGUGCGCAGGCGGUUAUAUAAGACAGUUGUGAAAUCCCCGGGCUCAACCUGGGAACUGCAUCUGUGACUGUAUAGCUAGAGUACGGUAGAGGGGAUGGAAUUCCGCGUGUAGCAGUGAAAUGCGUAGAUAUGCGGAGGAACACCGGAUGGCGAAGGCAAUCCCCUGGACCUGUACUGACGCUCAUGCACGAA
rnacentral:rRNA from 1 species